GGAGGGAGGCGGAGAGAGCAGUCCGACAGAAGAUGGCCGCUGCUGGAGUGGCAGUGGGGCGGCGGCGAGCGAUGGCGGCGCUGCCCCGGGGCCCGCGGGUACUGCUGGAGGAGCAACAGCAGGGCGCUGCGGGAGCCCCGGUGUGCCGGACCUGAGGUGGCCGGUGAACGCUGCAGUAAGCCCGGCCCGCGUGGUUAUGUUUCACACUAUGUGCUGAUUGUCUGUACUUACAGAAGAUAUUUAAAACCCAACAGACUUUUUUGCAAAAUUUUGAUUCCAGUGGAAUCUGUGCUUUAGAUUUUUGUCUUGUCAAUUAACUCCUGAAGCAAUGCCUGUACAAGCUCCACAAUGGACGGAUUUUCUCUCCUGCCCGAUUUGCACACAGACUUUCGACGAAACGAUUCGGAAGCCCAUCAGCUUGGGUUGUGGCCACACUGUCUGCAAGAUGUGUCUCAACAAGCUCCACCGUAAGGCUUGUCCCUUUGACCAGACCACUAUCAACACRGACAUUGAACUCCUUCCUGUGAACUCAGCCUUGUUGCAACUCGUGGGUGCUCAGGUUCCUGAGCAGCAGCCGAUUACUUUAUGCAGUGGAGCUGAAGAUACCAAGCAUUAUGAGGAGGGCAAGAAGUGCGUGGAAGAGUUGGCAUUGUACCUUAAACCACUCAGCAGUGCGAGAGGUGUGGGUCUUAACAGUACUACUCAGAGUGUGCUGAGUCGUCCCAUGCAGAGGAAACUUGUGACAUUAGUCCAUUGCCAGCUGGUGGAGGAGGAAGGACGGAUCAGAGCCAUGCGUGCAGCACGGUCCCUGGGUGAAAGAACAGUCACAGAACUCAUUCUCCAGCAUCAAAACCCUCAGCAGCUCUCUUCCAACCUCUGGGCUGCAGUGAGAGCCAGAGGGUGCCAGUUCCUUGGGCCAGCWAUGCAAGAGGAAGCUUUAAAGUUGGUUCUGCUGGCUUUGGAAGAUGGAUCUGCUCUGUCACGAAAGGUCUUGGUUCUCUUUGUGGUGCAGAGGCUGGAGCCACGAUUCCCUCAGGCUUCUAAAACUAGCAUUGGGCAUGUUGUCCAGCUCCUUUACAGAGCUUCGUGCUUCAAGGUGACCAAGCGAGAUGAGGAUUCCUCUCUCAUGCAACUGAAGGARGAAUUUCGGACUUACGAAGCUCUGAGAAGGGAACAUGAUUCCCAGAUAGUCCAAAUAGCUAUGGAAGCAGGUUUGCGUAUUGCACCAGACCAGUGGUCCUCACUGUUAUACGGAGAYCAGUCUCACAAAUCCCACAUGCAGAGUAUCAUCGACAAGUUGCAGACCCCAGCCUCGUUUGCGCAAAGUGUUCAGGAACUAACUAUUGCUCUUCAGAGGACUGGAGAUCCAGCUAACCUGAAUCGUCUUCGACCUCACCUAGAGCUCCUGGCAAAUAUUGAUCCCAGUCCAGAUGCUCCACCUCCAACAUGGGAACAACUGGAAAAUGGACUAGUUGCUGUGAGGACUGUGGUUCAUGGCUUAGUUGAUUAUAUCCAGAAUCACAGCAAAAAAGGAACAGAUCAGCAACAGCCCCCUCAGCACAGCAAGUACAAGACGUACAUGUGUCGAGACAUGAAGCAGAGAGGAGGAUGUCCCCGGGGAGCCAGCUGCACCUUUGCACACUCACAGGAGGAGCUGGAAAAAUUCCGUAAAAUGAACAAGCGUCUUGUUCCCAGAAGACCCCUUAGUGCCUCCCUGGGCCAGCUGAAUGAGGUGGGCCUGCCUUCAGGAGCUAUCCUCUCAGAGGAAGGGGGAGUGGACUUGCCCAAUAGGAAAACUUCUGCUCUGCCAAAUGGAAUUGUGUCAACAGGCAGCACGGUGACGCAACUAAUUUCUCGAGGGACUGACUCCGGUUAUGAAACUACCCUGAAGCCAGGGAAGAUGGACCAUCUGAGUAGCAGUGCCCCUGGAUCCCCUCCUGACUUGCUGGAAUCUGUCCCCAAGAGCUCUAUUUCUGCCUUGCCAGUGAACCCCCAUCCUGUGCCUGCUAGGGUGCCAGCAGAUCUGCCCACAGUGUCUGUCACCAAGCAGUUGCAGAUGGUACCACGAGGGUCUCAGUUGUACAAUGCACAACAAGCAGAUAUGUUUUAUCAAGACCCCAGAGGAGCUGCCCCAUCAUUUGAGCCAGCACCCUACCAACAAGGAGUGUACUAUCCCACUCAGUCCAUGUCUCGCUUUGUCCGACCUCCUCCGUCGGCGCCCGAGGCGGGUGCACCGUACCUGGAGCACUAUGGGCCAUACCUGCCGGAGCGCGUGGUGAGCCCACAGUACCCGCAGCCACAGGGGUACCCGGCCCUGGCGCAGCCUGUGUAUCCCCCGCACUAUGACAGCCGCCGCGUGUACCCUCCCGUGCAGCCCUACCAGCGGGAGGACGUGGUGCGGGGCAGCCCGGUGCCCAUCGACAUCCCRCAGGCAGCUGUGCCUCUCUACGUCCCUGAGUCCAGAGACAGAUACCAGCAAACAGAGGCUUAUUGCACCGUGGCUCCGCAUCUCAGUCAGAUCAGACCUUCGUGCCACAGGCCUCAUCCCAGCCUGGAUGAACUUCACCGACGAAGGAAAGAGAUCAUGGCCCAACUAGAGGAGAGGAAGGUGAUUUCUCCACCUCCUUUUGCACCAUCACCAACCUUGCCUCAUCCUUUUCACUCAGAGGAGAUUUUUGUUUUUGUACAGUACUUGGAUGAAGAUCUGAAAGUAGCUGGGAAAUACAAAGGAAAUGACUACAGCCAGUACUCUCCCUGGUCCUGUGACACCAUCGGCUCCUACAUUGGAACCAAAGAUGCAAAACCCAAAGAUGUUGUGGCAGCAAGAAGUGUGGAGAUGGCGAAUGUGGACAGUAAGGCCAUGUGUGAGCAGCGACUGGACAUGCAGCGACGAGCAGCUGAGACGGGAGACGAUGACCUCAUUCCAUUUGGAGACCGACCAACUGUGUCAAGAUUUGGGGCCAUCUCUCGUACUUCCAAAGCCAUGUACCAGAACUCCGGGCCUAUGCAGGCCAUGGCGGUUCAGGGAGCUGCCACCAAAUCCAUCAUUACAGACUACAGUCCUUAUGGAACCCAUGGUGGCUGGGGAGGCUCUCCAUAUUCUCAUCAAAAUAUACCUUCUCAGGGACGUUUCAAUGACAGGGAGAGACUGUCCAUGUCGGAUGUGGCUGGUCAUGGGAAGCAGUUGCCCUCAGCUGAACGAGAGCAGCAGCUGCGCAUGGAGCUGCAGCAAGUUGACCAUCAGAUCAGCCAGCAGACACAAAUGCGGGGACUGGAGGCUGUUAGUAACAGGCUGCUGUUGCAGAGGGAGGCGACUACCCUGGCAGGCCAACCACAGCCCCAACCCCCRCCUCCCAAGUGGCCUGGGAUGAUCUCAAGUGAGCAGCUGAGCUUGGAGCUACACCAGGUGGAAAGGGAAAUUGGGAAGAGAACCCGUGAGCUGAGCAUGGAGAGUCAGUCUUCACUGGAUAUGAAAAACAAACUGGGCACCACUAAACAGACAGAGAAUGGACAAUUAGAACCACAAAACAAGGUUCCAGCAGAGGACCUCGCACUGACAUUCGGCAGUGAUGUUCCGAAUGGAUCAGCUUUGACCCAGGAGAACAUUGGGCUCCUGUCAAACAAUAUGGCAUCUCUCAGCCUGUCAGAGGACCCCGAGGGAGGAGGAGAUGGCCAUGACUCCCAGCAAGCGGGAGUGACACACACAUCUGCUCCAUGAAGCGAGGCCAGCACACCCUGGAGUUCCUUCUGCUGGGGUGUCAGCAGCUUCCAUUGUGGUUUUUUCCCAGGGGUGACGGGAGAAACCCAGGAGCAGCAGCAGUUGCAGAGCAGCAGGUCCAGAGGCAAUGUGCACAAACACAACUACUAGAAACAAAUCCUGCACAUAGUUCACAUUAACGCAUUUUUUAAUUAAAAAAUGAAAAUUAGCAGUAUCUGCAAGCAAUUCAAAUUAAAUUUGUUUUUGUUCUGUGAAUGAACUUUAUUUUAAUAACUUUGGACGCCUUGAAUCCCAGGGCUUAAAAAAAAAAGAUAUUAUAUAUAUACUCUUGUUUGAUUAAUUGUAUGAUCUUAAUGAAAUAGGUUUUUUCUUUUAUUUUGGUAUUAUUACAUACCCAGUGCAUAAUUCCCUAUCACCUUAAUUUUUCAAUUACUAAAGCAAUCUGGCCCCUUACUUGUAUGGUUUAAGGGUAAACAAGGAAUGAUGAUUGGAGAGUAGCUGUGAAUUGCAGUAUCAAAAGAUGUGCAGCAAAUUUCAUACUUAACGCAUUUCCUCCCAUUAUGGCCAGGAACUGAACCCAAGCUUUUUGCUUAAAUUACUGAAUUUAAACUAUGAAUGACAAAAUCUUUGCAAAGGUGURGUCCUUUUUAAAGGCUGGCAUUGUUUAARGUCUGUGUAUGUCAGAAUUUGACAYCGGUUUGUCAGUGCUGCAGUGAUGAAUCCAGCCUGGUUUCCUAUUUCAUGGGGGAAGAAUUGUACCCAGAUGAUCACUGAAGGUGCGGUACAGAUCCUGCCAGAAGUACUGUGAAGCAAAUUUUGCUUGACAGAUCUAAUACAUCGCUAAGUAGAUACUUCGUAGGCAUAAGUCAGAGAAGAUGUAAGUCCCUUUUGCUUAUUUUUUUUAAWGAUUUCAUUCUUGCUGCACAUUUUUUGACUUUUUUGACAUGCACUAGGAUAAGAUCCUGGAUAUAAAGACCUCUUGAGAAUGAUUUUUCWAGUGCUGCUCCCUCUCUACUUUCUUGGCCUGUUCUCAUUUUUUCUUUCUGGGUUGGACUACUAAAUGGGAAGGCACUGGUUAUGUAAUAAAUUACUGCAUUGCUUUGGUUGGGUAAAGCAAGAGUUAAUAAAUUUUCUUGGGUUUUAGUUUUUUUCCUUAAUCUUAACUCCUGCUGAGGUCAUAGCAACCUUGGGCUAAGCUUUGCAUUCAUCAUAUUGUUUAAUAAAACAAAAGGGGGGGGAGGGGAUACAGUCCCACUAUUGCCUACCAGUAGGAGAGUCCAAACAGAAGACUCUUUUGAGUAGCAAUUAUUUAAUUUGCCCAGUCAAGGCACCGCGUUUAUAUACUAUUUCACAUUGAAUUUGAUUAUGCCCUACAGACCUGGCUGGUCAAGGAUUUGAUACACAUAUUGGCUUGGGAUUCGAGCUUUCUUUUUUAUUUAAAUAAAAAUUUAUAUAUAAAUAUAUAUAUACAUAUAUACAUGGUUAUAUCUGUAUAUAUAUUGGGUAUGUUUUAAGAAUUUUUUCGCAUGAGCGCAGCUGUUGUGAUCAAAUGUCUGGGAGGUAGAMGCACUGAAUGAAAUUAGUGGCAUUUUUCAGCACACCCCACACACACUUUCCAUGUCUUCACAUGGGUUUAUUUCACCCUUAGUUGAACUUUGGCUUCCUAAUUGCCAAGAGUAGUUCAAAGCUUGCUUUUUUUCUCUCCCCUCUUUUAACUUUUGGUAAAGAAUCUUUGCACUGAAACAGCUUCAUCUCCCCUUGCCCCAUCCAUCUGUAUCUCCUACUUGAGGCCAAGCAUUCCAGCCACUCCCCUUGGAGCUGAGCAGACCUGGGGUGAUGUAGCUGAGAGCCCAUCUGGUCUGUUCCUCUCUUCUCUGCUUUUAGCAUGAGGAGGUUGAAGAUUUUUCCUGGCUGCUUGCUCCCAAGUCACCUGACACAGGCCCCAGGCMCUCUCCUCUCAUCCUUCGGUGCAGGGCACCACCCUCAGGUCAGCCUUUUCCUUGAUUUUAAUUAGUUUGCUCCUUCCUCCUGUGUCUUUGUUAUAAACACAAGGAACUCAUCUUAGUCAAGAUAAUUAGUGCAAUAUUCUAGUCUAGGAGGACAAGCGCAGAAUGUUCCUUUUUUUUGACUGCAGUAAUUGUGCAUGUAAAAUUAAUUUUCAAAGACGGUUAUGAUAGGUUGGACCCCGCAGAUUCAUUUGUAAUACUAGGACAAAAGUCUGGAGGGGUAAAGACCUCUUUGCCUUUUUAUUUCCUAGUUCCCUUGCCAGGUUAGGGAUUAUUCUUUUCUCUGAAUUUUCUCCCUGAAUUCUUCAGAAAGUGCUAUUCCGAUUGUUGGCCUAUGUAUGAUGAACGCUUCAAAAAUCUUUGGAUUAGAAGGGAGACCUUACUGUUGGGUUUUUUUUCUCCUUGCAGCUUUCCGUGCUGUACUUCGUGCAUAAUGUCCUUGUUGUGAUCAAUGUGUCCAGGUGAAUGCCCUGUUUGCCCAGAAUUGUAGUUUGUCUUGUUAAAUAUUUUGUUUAAUAUCUACUAACAGUAUUGAUUUUUGACUUUGUUUCAUCCCUGCCUCUUCUAACCCUUUUUCUGCUUUUUUUGCAGAAGUUUAGUUAAACAAGUYGAACAGCAAAAUCCAGUGCAUGCUCCUAAGUUUUUCUGGAAACUGCACCUAAAAUGUUCCAGUUUUGUGGAAAAAGUGGGACACCUCAGAGGACAGAUAGCUGUACAUGUAGUGGCAGUAUUGGUGGUUGCAGUUAACAAGUGUGAAAAUGUCUGGAGGGACUCUGUUCUUGCUACRCUCAUUCAUUCAUUGUCCCAGUUGUACAGGAGUUCUGGCCACCUCAGUGAAAUUGGUCUCUGCUACAAACUGGUUUGGUUCCUUCUACUAGGCAAGAAGAAGCAGUAUUACCAUGGUGUCAGGGCUUUGCUGCAUCCUUUGGUAGGUUAAAUUUUCUACUGCACCAGAGAGCUCUGAACCCUCAUUGAUAUCUGGGUUUCAGCCAGAUGGACAGCAUGGAYAAACCUUCAGAAUAGGAAGCUUCAAGUGGUAGGUUAAGCUUCAGUUUGUCAGUAUAUAGAUGAUGUCUUUGUUCUGUGAUGUUAUUUCCCUCCUGUCAACAUCUCAUAUUUCUGUCCUAUGACUUAGUUCUUUUUUCUUAGUAGGAGAAGUUUAAACAUCUGCCCCUCUUAUAUGCUCCAUUGCAGAGUAGGACUUUCUUUCUGUGGGUCAGAGCACCUUUCAAGGUAGCAGCACUUUUAUUCUUCUCAAGUUCUUCUCUGUGUAGUUUCUUCUGAGCCUUCUCUCCCUUUUUGCGUCCUUUCCUUCUGUGGCCUGCCCAUGCCACCCUCCCUGAUUGUGUAACGGUGACAGCUUGCUGCCUCAAAACAGAGCGUUCAAAUGAAUUCGCUUAGCCAAUAACUUCUGUGAAGUUGCCUUUUCUAAUGGUGUUAUUACUCAGUGAUGCACAAAUGUGAUAUUGCCCCUACUGGUAGGCAAACGGGGGAUCUGUAUAAACAUGGUAAACUGCUGUUUUUCUUUAAAGGAGAGCCAAAGACUUGUGUUUUACACUUUCUUUUCCCCUGAUGUAGCCAUUUUGAUUGUCAGACAUUUGCAUAGGGUAUUGUGAGUUGACUGUAUUAUCCUAAUAAGAAUUUCCAGAAGUUAAUGAUUGUCAAGUGUUGCUCAUGCAUUGCAUUGGGGAAAAUCAUUCCAUUGAGUCGUACAAUUUGCARUGUACUGAGAUGUAUCUGAGGUGUUGUGAUGUGUUUUCAUUUUGUCAUACACUCUCUCAGCUGAUGGAAUGGCUUAUUUAGAGAGAGAGAAAGAACACAGAAAUGUUACCAUCCAAGAAGCCUUGUCUUUAAGUGUUUAAAUCUAAAUUGAAUACUGAUUGAAAAUUUCUUCAGUUACAUAAAUAGAUAAAUCUGUAUUACAAAUGUGACUGACUUUUAAGCCCACUGGGACCGAAAAGAUAUGUGAAAUGCUAGCAUUGCAUUAAAUUAGAUGUGGAAGAACCAAACUUGUAUGAUGAUAUUGUCUCUUGACAGCAYGGACUGAGUAAGGUGGGGCAAAUUUUGUAUUAGGGUCAGGAGUGAGGCAUGUAUUGAUAAUACAAGAAAGCUGCUUGCAUUUCCCUUCCUUGAGCUAGUCAAACUCUCUCAGACUUGUUAGUCAAGUUUUUAGGUCAGAGAGAAAUCUCUUUAAGGCCGAGUAGCUUAAGUCCUCAUUUCCAUUGCCAUUUAUAAUUUUGGAUUAUAACAAAGCAGACUUACAGGACAGUCAUCUGAAAGACCCCCAGUAUAAAGAUUCUUAGCUGGACUGGCUCUUUCAGACCUACUCUUACGGUCCAAGAAAUGCCAUGCCAGUGUUCAGGAGGCUCAACAACAGGAGUGCCAGUCACCUCUGCUCUGAAAUGGGAGCGACCCAAACAUAUGAACAGGGUGCAAGUUUUUGUGCUUGUCUGUGUAUGUAUGAAGAAGUGUUUGUGGUCCUAGGAUAGAUACAAGGAACACAGAGCAAUGGUGCUGGGGCAUAAUGUUGCCUUCACAUGCAAAUUUUGUUAUCAUUCACUCUCCAAAACACAGCCUUCCAUUCCUGUCUCCUAAUGUUGCUGAUUUCAAAGCAACCCAAAAAAGUCAGUGUGUCAGCAACUUAAUUUCUUGUAUCACAAUAAAUCAAUUCCCAGGCUGGGAGGUGGAAAGGGAGCAAGARUUCUUGAGUUGUCUUCAUGGUAAUGGAGUUGUGAAGUGGAAAAACAUCUGCCUUGCUUAAGUAAGUGAAACUGGAUUUCUGAGGAAAGCGAAGCAGCUGUUCUAAACUACCUUUUGUAUACAGCCAUGGUGCCAAGAGCUCGGUGCUUGUUACUUGUGGUAAAUCAACCUGCAGAUCAUUAUGUAGCACAAAUUGAUUUGCUCUCAGAUCUAAUUGAAUCUUAAAAUGUGAAAAACUUCAUUGGGGAGUCUCAUUUCCAUAGUGGGCUCUUACCAACUGUAUUAUUUUCUGUUGGAAUGUCAGGGAGUGACAGAAACUAGAGUAAGUCAAUUCUAGUUAUACAACAUAAGAAAAGGUUUUGGACACAGCAGAGUGUCUUUCUAUUGUUAACAUGUGAUCUUUAUUCUUCUGUAGGAAAAAAAUAAUAUAACUGCUUUGAGUUGUCGCAGUCUUCGGGGCGCUUCUUGUAAUGCAGGUAGAGCCUUGGUUAGCAGAGAAGUGAUAUAAAACUUAAUGUUUAUUUUCUUUAUAAUUUUAUUUCUAAUGGCAAGUGAAAUAUCGUGCUGUGGGAAGUGCAGUAAGUAAAGAGGCUGCAGCUUUUUUGAGAUUUUCCAAUAAAAAAAGCACAUGGCAGUGCGGAUUUGUCUGCAUCAGGAACAUUACAGUGAUUUGAUACUUGAAAAAUUUGGCCAUAAUAAUCUAAAUUGGAUCCCUGGAGCUUAUUAACAUGAAUAAUUAACUGAUCACUCCCAGGCAGUCUUAGUAAUUUCAGUGAGUUUGCAUAUGACUUUCAGUGCCAAUUGCUAGGUGUUCAGCAGUUGGGAAAGUUUAGGUGCCUAACUUSAUCCAGCAAGGCACCUUUCUUUGGAUAUAUGGUUUGGAUGUUUUCAUAUGCUAGGAAACAACUGUUUUGAAGAUCYGAAAGUUUUAGGAAAACACAAUUGUCCACUUCAAUUUUAAAAGUACAGUCUUGGGAGAGACAGAAGCAACAGGUAGUGCAGUGUCUGGAAAUAAAAAGCAUUAGACAUGAUGGAAAUAGGUGGGAAAUGUGUAUGGGCUAAACAUCUGUAAGCUGAAAAAAAAUACUGUGGAGUAUUUGAUGUGUAAGAAAUUAUUUGUUUCUUUGUAAUGUUAAAAAGAUUUUAUUAAUAGUUCUGUGGCAGACAGUACUCACAAGUCUUUGGCAUCCAAACCAGAUAGUAUAUCAGAUGGAUCCCACAACUGGAUGUGUGCACUGACCUCUUUAUUUGUAGCUUUUUAAAAGAAAUUUGGCAGWAGCCUUUUAUAAAUGCAGAAAGCAACCUGAGAGAAAGAAGAAGCCCAUUCACAUCACAGCUGCUGCAUAGCUCACAAUUGGUACUGUUCAUCUGCAGCAUCUCAUAAGUGGAGCUGCUCAGCAUGGGCAAAUCUAAUGACUUGGAUUUUUUCCUAUUUUAAUUUUAAAGAGUUCCYAUUCCCCCUUUAGCCUCUGCUUGCUGUGUGAACGGCUUCCAUGCUAAAAGGAUCUUUCCUUGAAGUCAGCUUAGCAACUGUGCUGUAGCUUGGCUAUUUUUCCAUAUUUUCAGUAACUGGUUGCAUUAUGUUAAGCUCUUCCCCRCCUUGUAUUUGUUGCUGUGGGGAGGAAGAGGUAAAGCAAGGCACAUGUGAGAGGAGGGAGAAAGAACUGUGGGAUCUAUAUGACAGCUCCYACCUCUUCUUUGAAAUCAUCUACUUCCAGUUGUGGGAUUUCUCGAUAUAUGAUUCCUUUUCCUGGUUUUUGUAAGCCUAAUUUUUCUUUGAUCUUAUUAGUUCUGUACAAGUCUCCCCGAGACAUUCUGCAGUCAUUAUCACCUUUUUGGGUGGAGUUAUUUUAUUUUUUGGUUUGUUUGGUUUUUUAAAUAACUUUUUAACAUUGGUGCAUAUAUGCUUGGGAUAGAGCUCAUGUAAUUUUCCAAUCGUAUUGAUUGUAUGUGAUUGUGCCCUGCAGAGGUAUGUUUAACAAAAAAUAAAAGGGUAGUCUAGGUAAUAAAGGAGACCAUGAGGUUUGUUGAGUCAGGUCAUAAACUAUUUCUUAAAUUUAUUUAGGAUCCUAGAUAAGUGAAAUUCCAUCUGCURUUCUUGUGAAUCAAUGCUAAACAAAAUGUCAUUCAUUCUGUCUUUGUGUUGGAACUGUUUCUUUCCUUGCUUUACUUCUCCUUCUGCUGUUUUCUUCCUUCCCAUAAACAAAAAUUCUCAGUCCUUCAUGGGAAUGGCUGACUCUGGGUUGAUACUGUGGAUAUUUAUUUUUAACUAUCAAAACAUUCAUAAUAGGAGUAGAGGUGAAGUAGAAUGUGUGAGAAGAAUUCCAUAAAUUGAAUUCUUUGUGAAUUCAGGGGAAUUACAAAGUCUUGUACAUACAGGCCUGAUCACGGGGGAGAUAUUCAGAGAUACAUGGGGAAUUCCUCUGUCUUUUCCAGGAAAGRUUAGAUGCUUUACUGCCUUUUGGGAAAACUGAGAUGACAAAAGGAGUAGAASAAAGUUCUCUAUAUCCAACUCCUUGUGUCUUCACUUCUACAAUAUACUUCUUAGACUUGAAAGGAAAACCUUCACUAUGCUGAAGUGGGACAGAGUGGAUUGAAGGAGGCAAAAGGCAUGAGGAUCCAGAGAUUUGGAAGUCAGUAUUUGUCUCCUUUAUUUAAUCUUCAGACCUGUAGAGUGAACGGUGUCACUUUUGUAUGGAAGAUCAGGGGAAUGGAGACCUAUUGUACAUGCAUGGCAGUUAUAUAGAAAAAGCCAUAUGUUGAAAUGCUGUUUCUUUGUCCCUCUUCACCUUGCUUUUCUCCCUCUUAAAGCUGACUCAACCUCACCUUGCUCUUACAUAAUGUCUGAGGGUCCUUUGAAUUGCAGAUUGAACAGAAAAAAAAGUGGAAAGGUGAUUCACUAUUUGGUUUGUAAAUAGAUGAAAGUGUCUGCAAGGUCUUACCUGCUUUUCUGUCAGCAUUUAUAUUAAAUGAUAACUUAACAGAGAACACUUUGAAAUAUCUCUCGUUUUCUGUCUGGGAUGARUGUGCAUUCUUCUGAAUUUUGUAUGAGGUGGAAGACUGUCGGACCAUCUGCAUAAGGUUUUCUUCAGCUCAAGGUGUGUCUGUUCUCURCCGGGGUGGAGCCAAAUACCAGAGAAGCCACGUCUGCUCUCUUCUGACUCCACCUGUAAACAAAGUGGCUCCUUCAUUUGUUCACCAGAGGUGAACAAGAGAAGAUACUUGAUCAGUUUUGUUAAUUGCUUAGAGGCUGUGUAUUUAAAAUCAAACCAGACCCUUCUGAGCAAGGAGUGAGCAGCAUUCCUCUAAUCUUGAGCCUGGUUUUGGAACAUGCCUUGAAGUGYGAAUAAGGUUUGCUCCACAGUCUGCUUUGUGGUUUUUAGUCUCUUCACUCCUCUGUGUGGGCUUUAACAAGUCRUUACCUGCUGUAAAUCUGAAACUGGAUGAACUGAAGUGGAUGAACCGCUGCUUCACUGAAAAACCAUUCCUUCUACUUCAGGGCAAACGCAGCCUUCUGCCCUCAGAGUUUGUGCAUAAUGUUCAUUGUGUUGUCUUUAUUCUUGAGCUGGGCACCAUGGUGUAGCUGUGGUGUGUUUUGCUGGGCUGAUGCCCAUCACUGCUAGUUAUUAGGUCCCCUCACACUUCCACACUUUGCUUUGAGUCAUCCAGCAAGAUUCAGUUCCUAUAAAGGAAUUGUAUUUAGUGGGCAAUCCAGCAGAAAACUGAGUUUCACUUGGUGAUGGUUUUCAUGCCCUUUCUCCCAGYAGUCUGAGGAUUCAGGAUCCUCAUGUAGUGACUCACUUAGGAAGGAAACAAAAAGCUGAAUUCCUGCAGUCGUUUGCUUUUAAAAAGAGGAUCUGAAGUGCUGUGGAGCGUGAGUCAGUGCUUCCCUUUGGAAGGGAGCGGUGGGUGUUCUGCAUCGAGAGAUUGGGGGGAACUGGCUGGGUUUCUUAAUGUGGAAAAGGGGGAGACUGGGUUCAAGYAGAUGGCACGUGCUUUAAUUUUUAUUUCCUUUGGAUAUGGAUACCAGAAUAGAAAGAAUCUUGAAAAGGCUAGCUCUUGAGACUCCUUCACCAAUCAGGUAUGUUUAAGAGCUAUUUCUUUCCAGCUAGAAUGUGUUCAGUUGCUUCUGUAACCUCCUUCCUCCUAACUGAGCUGCAGCUCCAGGACUACCAGAAGUGUGGGAGAGACUAAAACCAAAGCUUGAUGCUUCAUCUGUCUUGCCCAAGGCUUGCAGGCUUUGGUGCUUGAUGGUUUUGAGCCUCUGAUCCUUGCUUUGGAUCUGGGAGCAGCAGCUUUGGGGGAAAAACAUCCCCUGUAUUAGAGCAAACAAGACAUCUAACAAAUCUAACAGUUUGUAUUAAGACACUGGCCAUCUCAGGUGCUUCCUUAGGGAUAACUACUCAGAUGCGAGUGCUGGGAUGUUGCUUGGAGAUAAACCAGCAAUAAAUUAUCAUUUACGUGCUUCACUCAAAAGUUAGAUUUACCCAGCUACUUUGGAAGAAAUGCCUUGRGAGCUUUGUGGGAUGUGCAAAACCAUAGUUGUUUACUUUUGAUUUUACUGCUUUAAAAUACCUCUGAGCASUGAGUGAAUGGAAAAUUGUGCUUGGAUGUCUGCCUGGGUGUGGAGCAUCCCUAAUUCACCCUGAAAACCCUGGGUUUUGCGAGCAUGCAAGUUAAAUUAACCGAAAAAUUAAACCAGCAGCCACCUGAAGCAGCAAGGUACAGUGCCUGAGUCCUUCCUUUCUCAUGGAGGGCAUUUUUUACAUAACCCUUCAAUUUAUCUCCACAAUCUCUGUCCCAUAUAACURUAUCCCGUACUGCAACAGUAAGGUMUUUUACUUUACCCAAACCAGUUUGGAGCUGCAUUUUCCAGUAAGACCUCGGCUCUUACUGGAGGCCAGGAAAAGCGCAGCUCCAGCAUCUGCUUAGCCAGCCUGCCCCUGGGACUGGAAGUUCAGGGGUCAGUGCUGCUGAACUUGUAGAGCAGCUGCAUCAGGAAUAGUGGUGUUCAGUCCUGUCCACUAUCACUGCCUAGUGAAGUGACAGGAGUUGGGAUAGCUUCUGUUGAUCUUCAGCUUUCCACCUGUGCAAGUGAGAGGUCACAGAMUCACAGAACAUUCUGAGCUGGAAGGAACCCACCAGGAUCACAGAAUGCAACUCCUGGCACUGCAAAGACACCCCAAGUAUCCCACCCUGUGCAUCCCUGAGAGCAUUGUCCAAAUGCUCCUGGGGCUCUGGCAGCCUUGGAGCUGUGACCAUCCCCAGGUGAGUAUGUUUAAGAUGGGAUGUAUUUGAAACUGCAGAAUGUGAAGUGGGGCAGCUUCUCCCAACUUGUGCCUUUUCAGGAAAUGGACAGGUGACAGGACUUGGGACCAACAGGGGGAAUACUUUGUUUAGCUACAAGAUACCAAAAUUAGGUUUACAAAUACCUUACAUAAUUUUUAUUCAAACUCUUGAAAGUUUUGGGGUUUUUCUCAUGGGAUAAACAUUUCUCAUGUUCACUUUCUGUUGGCAAAAACUGAGGGUAUUUGGUACUCAUGUGGGGUAGGUGGUCAAACUUUCCCUUGUCAGAUUGAACUUUAAAACCUCUUUCAAACUAAACAUUGCCUUUUUUUUUCCUACUCUUUGCUUAACCUUCAGCAGCUGGUCAACAGCCUUUGGCCUCAGCAUCCUACUCCCCUCCCACCAUCCCCUCCUGCUGUCUCAGCUCUGCUUGGGCACAGAAAUCCAGUGGGGAAACUGCUUUGGGCUCAAGCAAGACUGUCCUCUCGAAAAUUUGUGUUUGCCUCUUAAAAGCAGAAGGCUGGAGGUAGAGGGGCAGGACAAUGCAUCUGCUUGUGGUGUGUCUGCUCGGUGUCUGGGGGCUGGCUGCUCCUGAGC